rnacentral:rRNA from 1 species
UACGGAGGGGGCUAGCGUUGUUCGGAAUUACUGGGCGUAAAGCGCACGUAGGCGGCUUUGUAAGUUAGAGGUGAAAGCCCAGGGCUUAACCCUGGAAUUGCCUUUAAGACUGCAUCGCUAGAAUCGUGGAGAGGUGAGUGGAAUUCCGAGUGUAGAGGUGAAAUUCGUAGAUAUUCGCAAGAACACCAGUGGCGAAGGCGGCUCACUGGCCCAUUACUGACGCUGACGGCACGAAAGCGUGGGGAGCAAACAGG